rnacentral:rRNA from 1 species
UACGUAGGGUGCGAGCGUUAAUCGGAAUUACUGGGCGUAAAGCGCGCGUAGGCGGCUGCGCAAGUCAGAGGUGAAAGCCUGAAGCUCAACUUCAGAAUUGCCUUUGAAACUGUGCAGCUAGAGUAUCGGAGGGGAAGGUGGAAUUGCUAAUGUAGUGGUGAAAUGCGUAGAUAUUAGCAGGAACACCGGUGGCGAAGGCGGCCUUCUGGACGAUUACUGACGCUGAGGCGCGAAAGCGUGGGGAGCAAACAGG